rnacentral:rRNA from 1 species
UACGUAGGGUGCGAGCGUUAAUCGGAAUUACUGGCGUAAAGGGUGCGCAGGCGGUUAUAUAAGACAGAUGUGAAAUCCCCGGGCUCAACCUGGGAACUGCGUUUGUGACUGUAUGACUAGAGUACGGUAGAGAGGGGUGGAAUUCCUGGUGUAGCAGUGAAAUGCGUAGAUAUCAGGAGGAACAUCGAUGGCGAAGGCAGCCCCUUGGACCUGUACUGACGCUCAUGCACGAAAGCGUGGGGAGCAAACAGG